UAUUAUUUGACAUGUAAAUUGAAAUACCUGAGUAGUAAUAGUUAUGGUCUUGAAACUCAAAGAAUUUGGCGGUGUUUUAGUCCUUUCAGAGGAACCUGUCCUGUAAUUGAUGGUACACGAUUUUUUUUACUUGAUUUAGUAGAUCAGCUUAUAUACCGCCGUCGUAAGAUUAUCUUGUGGAGAGUGAAAAAUUUCUUUUUAUGAAUUUAAUUUAUGUCAGGUCAAGGUGUAGUUAAUGGUUAAGUAGAGAUGGGUUACAAUAAAAUUAUUUAUAUGGAUAAUUUUGAUUAAAUUUUGAUUUGAAGGUGGAUUUGAUUGUAAAUUAAUCGAAAUAGAUUUUUUGAUUAUGGCUCUGAGACGUGCACAUAUCGCCCGUCGCUCUCGUUUUAAGAUGAG
rnacentral:rRNA from 1 species